rnacentral:rRNA from 1 species
GACGUAGGAUGCAAGCGUUGUCCGGAAUUAUUGGGCGUAAAGAGUUCGUAGGCGGCCAACUAAGUCGGAUGUGAAAUCCCCAGGCUUAACCUGGGAAUUGCAUCCGAUACUGGAUGGCUUGAAUCCGGGAGAGGGAUGCGGAAUUCCAGGUGUAGCGGUGAAAUGCGUAGAUAUCUGGAGGAACACCGGUGGCGAAGGCGGCAUCCUGGACCGGCAUUGACGCUGAGGAGCGAAAGCCAGGGGAGCAAACGGG